rnacentral:rRNA from 1 species
GGCUCAGCAGUCGGGUCUUCCUUCAAUGGUUGUACUCGAGUGCUUUGCCUUAUCUUCUAGGCUCGCGUCGCAAGGCGCAAGAUUCUAGGACUUUUACUGUGAAGAAAUUAGAGUGUUCAAAGCAGGCGUAUUUUAGUCUUUGAAUAUAUUAGCAUGGGAUAAUGAAAUAGGACUUUAGUUCUACUUUCGUUGGUUUCUAGAGCUGAAGUA